rnacentral:rRNA from 1 species
UGGGGAAUAUUUGACAAUGGGCGAAAGCCUGAUCCAGCCAUGCCGCGUGUGUGAAGAAGGUCUUCGGAUUGUAAAGCACUUUAAGUUGGGAGGAAGGGCAGUAAGCGAAUACCUUGCUGUUUUGACGUUACCGACAGAAUAAGCACCGGCUAACUCUGUGCCAGCAGCCGCGGUAAUACAGAGGGUGCAAUCGUUAAUCGGAAUUACUGGGCGUAAAGCGCGCGUAGGUGGUUCGUUAAGUUGAAUGUGAAAGCCCCGGGCUCAACCUGGGAACUGCAUCCAAAACUGGCGAGCUAGAGUAGGGCAGAGGGUGGUGGAAUUUCCUGUGUAGCGGUGAAAUGCGUAGAUAUAGGAAGGAACACCAGUGGCGAAGGCGACCACCUGGGCUCAUACUGACACUGAGGUGCGAAAGCGUGGGGAGCAAACAGG